CACAACACACACAUAUAUGUAUGUAUGUAUGUAUGUGCGCGCGUGUGUGAGUGUAUAUGGAUGAGAGGUGCCUUCCUCCGCCCGCUAUACGUCGCGUUCGUGGCGCGCGAGCGAAGGUGCUCUUAUACGUAGUGCGCCUAUGUGUUUGUAGUAUCUUCUCUCUCUCUCUCUCUCUCUCUCUCUUCCUCUUUCCCUCCCUCCCUCUCCUUCUCUUUCUCUUUCUCUUUCUAUCUUCAUUUUUCUCCAAGAUAUUCUCUCUCUUUCUACGUCGCGUUUUACUUCAAUACACGAAUCUAUUUUAUUCGCAACUACACGGGCGGCUAUGUUUUCACCUUUAACCUUACGUUUAGUCAAUCAUAUUUUCUCUUUCUCUAAGUCCAUCUUACUUUUCGUGUUUUAAUUUUUUUUAUUCCUGAGGAUUUGUCGUCAUUAUCGUGUCUGAUAUUGUCGUCUACCUAUCUACCUAUCUACCAACCUACCUAUCAACGCUUUGAGCGAGCGUGCAACCCUCCAACUACGCGAGUAUUUGCGACCAUAAUCCGUCCUUUCCCGCCAUAGUCAUUCAUGAUCGUCACAAGAGACGGAAAAGCGAUGACAAAGCGCGUAAUAUACUCGUAUUUUAAUUUUUUUUUAAAUAUUUUUCUUCGAAGCAAGAAACAAAGAGAUCAAGGAAAUAAAGAGAAAAAAAGAAAGAUAAAGAGAAGUUGAUUUUUAUCGCCCUCGACCGUCACCGCGAUUAUAUGCUUCUAUCCUUCCCCCUCCCUUAAAGAAUUUGCGGUUGUUAUUUCAACGUGUAUGUAACGGAUAAUUCGAAUUUGAUAGUUCGAUCGAAGUAAUUGGUUUUUCAUCGUUUUAUUGGACAAUAAUUAUCAACAUUUGCAAGGCUAAUAAUAGAAUAACAAUUGUAAUUAUAUAAAUUAUUUUUUGCAAAUAAACGGAUAAACUUGUUAUUCAUUUAAUCUUUUUGCCAAGAUGCUUUAUUAGAACUUUGUUAGCAGUAAAUGAAGUAAAUAUUCUUAUUAUGGUAAUAUAUUCGUGGAUAUAAUUGAUGUGAUAUGUAGUAACUGGUCAUAUAACAUUUACAAAGAAA
rnacentral:lncRNA from 1 species